rnacentral:rRNA from 1 species
GACGUAGGGCGCGAGCGUUGUCCGGAUUUAUUGGGCGUAAAGAGCUCGUAGGCGGCUUGUCGCGUCGAAUGUGAAAACCCACGGCUCAACUGUGGGCUUGCAUUCGAUACGGGCAGGCUAGAGUUCGGUAGGGGAGACUGGAAUUCCUGGUGUAGCGGUGAAAUGCGCAGAUAUCAGGAGGAACACCGGUGGCGAAAGCGGCUCUCUGGAACGGUACUGACGCUGAGACGCGAAAGCGUGGGGAGCGAACAGG